rnacentral:misc_RNA from 1 species
AAGUCAUAACAAGGUUUCCGUAGGUGAACCUGCGGAAGGAUCAUUAAUAGUGCUCUUUGAUGCAAAUCAUUGAGUUAGAUCUGCUCUCCUCGCAAGAGGAGGGUUUCCAUACACACCGUGAACUGUGGCUUCGGCCAUCACAAACUGUUAGUAAUGAAUGUAAUAUCAUAACAAAAACAAAACUUUUAACAACGGAUCUCUUGGCUCUC